GACGGAGGGGGCUAGCGUUGUUCGGAAUUACUGGGCGUAAAGCGCACGUAGGCGGCCUUUCAAGUCAGAUGUGAAAGCCCCGGGCUUAACCCGGGAAUUGCAUUUGAUACUGUUGGGCUUGAGACCGGGAGAGGAUAGCGGAAUUCCCAGUGUAGAGGUGAAAUUCGUAGAUAUUGGGAAGAACACCAGUGGCGAAGGCGGCUAUCUGGACCGGUAUGACGCUGAGGUGCGAAAAGCGUGGGGAGCAAACAGG
rnacentral:rRNA from 1 species